UCUCUCUCUCUCUCUCUCUCUCUCUCUCUCUCUAUCUUCUUCUUCUUCUUCUUCACACGGACACAUACCUUAAAAGAGUGUGAAUGGCGAGGAUCGGUGUACGAGUUCUUGAAGCGGUGCUGACUCGCCGGUAAUCGGAUCGCUCCAGAUUGUUCAGGUCUAUAAGGCGUCAUGCGACUCCUCUUCAUCUCUUGACGUACUCAUCAUGAUCUGAGAGCGCGACGUUGAAAUAGAAUGACUCGUUGUGCUCAACGAACUGGAGGCCAACGAAGGCGUGCUUGCCGGUGCCGUCCUUGAUCUUAAGGACGAAGAAGCGUGACAAGCUGAGCAUGGUCUCGACGGAGGUCGUUGGAGUUUGGAUCCUCUGGUCGGAUCUCGCGCUGGUCCUUGCAUGACACUACCCAGAGCUGACUCAUCCAGAUCUUGUCGGACUUGAGCCACUCGCCGCAAUUGUACCUGCCGGAUGUCGACUGCAGUGGGGUUUUGUAGACCGCGACCUCGCACACCAGCAGCAGCUUCAGAAUCCUCAUCGUCGCCGUGAUCCAUCUCCCUCGUCACUUCAUUGAAUGCCCGGUCGCGAGCAAUGCUUAUGCACAAACUGGAUCGCAGUGGCAGUGGAUCAAGUUGCCUCAGACCUAUGAGACUAAAUUCCCUGAGAGCUGGUAGGAUUAUGCACAUUGGGAAUGUGAAGGAGGCAACUGGUAUGCCUGUUAGUUCCAAUUUUCAGAUGAUGGAGUAUUUAAUUGUCCUCGUGGCUUUGUGUAACAAGAAAGAAUGUCAUGUUGAGAUGAGAAAGUUGCAUGUACAUCACUUGGAAUUUUUCAGUCAAUAUAAUGUGAAAUUACAAAUACUGUUUAUAGACUA